CUAGUGCUACCAUAAUUCGCCUAAAGCAGGUGCAGCAACUUUCACCCCGCCUGGCAGACCGCUGAGAGCUAGAGAAGACCACGUGCACCAAACUUUAGGGGAGGAAAAAUGGGAACGUGGGGAGAAGACGUGGGGCGGCAGAUCAGAAAAAGAUGGUCAUUCCGGACUCCUGACGCCGCCAGUCCCGCGGUGAGACGUGAGCACCAUUGGCGUCCGUGGCCUCUGUUUCCGUGGCAACCCAGUAACCAUUAAUUUUCAAUUAAAGGAGACAAAAAGCUCGAUGACAGCUCCAGGUCUGCUGAAGAUGUCAAGAAUCUGUAUUAAUAUACAGCAAGAGAGCAUAAUUGUGUGUCCAUCUUCCAGAGCAGCGAAAAAUGGAGGGAUAAUUACCAGCUCGAAAGCCACUCUGUAAUUUAGUUCUUACUGUCACCACAGCCCUACACAUUAGCAUAAAUUAAAAGCAGAGUUUAUUGUUAUCAAAGUGCA